AAACUUGUGCUAAUACCGGAUAAGUCUUUACGGAGAAAGCUUUAUGCACCAUUGGAUGAGCCUGCACUUGAUUAGUUUGUUGGUAGGGUAAUGGCCUACCAAGACUGUGAUCAAUAGCUGAUUUGAGAGGAUGAUCAGCCACAUUGGGACUGAGACACGGCCCAAACUCCUACGGGAGGCAGCAGUGGGGAAUCUUGCACAAUGGAGGAAACUCUGAUGCAGCGAUGCCGCGUGAGUGAAGAAGGCCCUUGGGUUGUAAAGCUCUUUCGUCGGGGAAGAAAAUGA
rnacentral:rRNA from 1 species